UGGGGAAUCUUGCACAAUGGGGGAAACCCUGAUGCAGCGACGCCGCGUGAGUGAUGAAGCCCCUCGGGGUGUAAAGCUCUUUCGACGGGAAAGAUUAUGACGGUACCCGAAGAAGAAGCUGCGGCUAACUACGUGCCAGCAGCCGCGGUAAUACGUAGGCAGCAAGCGUUGUUCGGAAUUACUGGGCGUAAAGAGUGUGUAGGCGGUGCUCUAAGUCUGUCGUGAAAUCUCCCGGCUUAACUGGGAGGGUGCGGCGGAAACUAGUGUGCUAGAGGGUGGGAGAGGUAAGCGGAAUUCCUGGUGUAGCGGUGAAAUGCGUAGAUAUCAGGAGGAACACCUGUGGUGUAGACAGCUUACUGGACCACUUCUGACGCUGAGACACGAAAGCGUGGGUAGCAAACAGG
rnacentral:rRNA from 1 species